rnacentral:rRNA from 1 species
CAAUAGCGUAUAUUUAAGUUGUUGCAGUUAAAAAGCUCGUAGUUGGAUUUCGGUUAAGAGCGACCGGUCCGCCGUUUGGUGUGCACUGGUUGGUUUUAACUUCCUGUAGAGGACGUGCUCUGGGUUUAACGACCUGGACUCGGAGUCUACGUGGUUACUUUGAAAAAAUUAGAGUGUUCAAAGCGGGCUUACGCUUGAAUAUUUCAGCAUGGAAUAACACUAUAGGACUCCUGUCCUAUUUCGUUGGUCUCGGGACGGGAGUAAUGAUUAAGAGGAACAGUUGGGGGCAUUCGUAUUUCAUUGUCAGAGGUGAAAUUCUUGGAUUUAUGAAAGGCGAACUUCUGCGAAAGCAUUUGCCAAGGAUGUUUNCAUUAA